UUAUCUUUUUCUUAUUAUUUUUAUUAAUAUUUUUAUUCUUUUUUAAAAAAAAUUUAUUGUUAAAGUAUUUUUUAUAAAAAUAAUUAUUUUAUUUAUAGUUGAUUGUACCGUGAGGGUAAGUUUUUUUAUUAAAAAAGUAGAAUUUGUUUUUUGUACCUUUUGUAUCAGGGUUUAUUAAAAUACUUUCAAUUAUUUGAUUUUCCCGAAACUGAGAGGGCUAGAUUUGUAUUGUUUUUUAAUGUUUCAUAAUUAUUGAUAAAUACAGUUUAGAGAUGAUAUGUUAUUCAAUCUUAGAUAUCUGGUUUCUUAAUAAUUGAAUUUAAUUCAGGAUUUUAAAGUACUUUUUAAAUUAAAUUAUUUUGUGUUUUAAUUUCUAAUAUUGUUGGGGAUAAGCUCGGCAUUAUUUCUAUAAUAACUUUAUUUAAAAAAGUUUGUAGGCUUAAUAACAGCCAUCAUUUAUUUCGUUAUAGUUGAUUUUUUCUUAGUUUGAUUUAUUUUUUAUUUAGAUAUUUAUUAAGUAAUAUUAAUUAUUUAUUAAUUAAUUGUUAUAAUGAUAGAAUUAGUAUUUUAUAAAAUUUAUAUAUAGGAACUCGGCAAAUAUUACCUUCGCCUGUUUAACAAAAACAUGUCCUUUUGUUAUUUAUUUAAGGUCUGACCUGCCCAAUGAUUUAUUUAAUGGCCGCGGUAUUCUGACCGUGCAAAGGUAGCAUAAUCAUUUGUCUUUUAAUUGAAGGCUUGUAUGAAUGGUUGGACGAGGGGUAUUCUUUCUUUAUAUAAUUAUAAUUAAUUUAAUUUUUAAGUCAAAAAGCUUAAAUUUUUUUAUAGGACGAGAAGACCCUAUAGAACUUUAUUUUUAAUGUUAUAUUUGAUAUUUGGUUUAUAUUUUAUUAAGUAUUUCCUAUAAAAUUUUGUUGGGGUGACAGGGGGAUUUUCUUAGCUCCCUUAAAUUUUUACACAUGAAUUAAUGUAUUGUUGAUCCAAAAUUUUUGAUUAUUAGAUUAAGUUACCUUAGGGAUAACAGCGUAAUUCUAUUGGAGAGUUCUUAUCGAUAAUAGAGUUUGCGACCUCGAUGUUGAAUUAAGAUAAGUUCUGGGUGCAAAAUUUCAGUUACUAGGUCUGUUCGACCUUUAAAUUCUUACAUGAUUUGAGUUCAAACCGGCGUGAGCCAGGUUGGUUUCUAUCCUUAAUAUAAUUAAUUAUCUUAGUACGAAAGGACCAGGUAAUUUAAAUGAUAUUUAUGUGUUUUGAGUAAAUUU
rnacentral:rRNA from 1 species